rnacentral:rRNA from 1 species
AUUGAACGCUGGCGGCAGGCCUAACACAUGCAAGUCGAGCGGAUGAAGGGAGCUUGCUCCUGGAUUCAGCGGCGGACGGGUGAGGAAUGCCUAGGAAUCUGCCUGGUAGUGGGGGAUAACGUCCGGAAACGGGCGCUAAUACCGCAUACGUCCUGAGGGAGCAAGUGGGGGAUCUUCGGACCUCACGCUAUCAGAUGAGCCUAGGUCGGAUUAGCUAGUUGGUGGGGUAAAGGCCUACCAAGGCGACGAUCCGUAACUGGUCUGAGAGGAGGAUCAGUCACACUGGAACUGAGACACGGUCCAGACUCCUACGGGAGGCAGCAGUGGGGAAUAUUGGACAAUGGGCGAAAGCCUGAUCCAGCCAUGCCGCGUGUGUGAAGAAGGUCUUCGGAUUGUAAAGCACUUUAAGUUGGGAGGAAGGGCAGUAAGUUAAUACCUUGCUGUUUUGACGUUACCAACAGAAUAAGCACCGGCUAACUUCGUG